GAUUGAACGCUGGCGGCAGGCCUAACACAUGCAAGUCGAACGGUAACAGGAAGCAGCUUGCUGCUUCGCUGACGAGUGGCGGACGGGUGAGUAAUGUCUGGGAAACUGCCUGAUGGAGGGGGAUAACUACUGGAAACGGUGGCUAAUACCGCAUAACGUCGCAAGACCAAAGAGGGGGACCUUCGGGCCUCUUGCCAUCAGAUGUGCCCAGAUGGGAUUAGCUUGUUGGUGAGGUAACGGCUCACCAAGGCGACGAUCCCUAGCUGGUCUGAGAGGAUGACCAGCCACACUGGAACUGAGACACGGUCCAGACUCCUACGGGAGGCAGCAGUGGGGAAUAUUGCACAAUGGGCGCAAGCCUGAUGCAGCCAUGCCGCGUGUAUGAAGAAGGCCUUCGGGUUGUAAAGUACUUUCAGCGGGGAGGAAGGUGUUGUGGUUAAUAACCGCAGCAAUUGACGUUACCCGCAGAAGAAGCACCGGCUAACUCCGUGCCAGCAGCCGCGGUAAUACGGAGGGUGCAAGCGUUAAUCGGAAUUACUGGGCGUAAAGCGCACGCAGGCGGUCUGUCAAGUCGGAUGUGAAAUCCCCGGGCUCAACCUGGGAACUGCAUUCGAAACUGGCAGGCUUGAGUCUUGUAGAGGGGGGUAGAAUUCCAGGUGUAGCGGUGAAAUGCGUAGAGAUCUGGAGGAAUACCGGUGGCGAAGGCGGCCCCCUGGACAAAGACUGACGCUCAGGUGCGAAAGCGUGGGGAGCAAACAAGAUUAGAUACCCUGGUAGUCCACGCCGUAAACGAUGUCUACUUGGAGGUUGUGCCCUUGAGGCGUGGCUUCCGGAGCUAACGCGUUAAGUAGACCGCCUGGGGAGUACGGCCGCAAGGUUAAAACUCAAAUGAAUUGACGGGGGCCCGCACAAGCGGUGGAGCAUGUGGUUUAAUUCGAUGCAACGCGAAGAACCUUACCUGGUCUUGACAUCCACAGAAGAAUCCAGAGAUGGAUUUGUGCCUUCGGGAACUGUGAGACAGGUGCUGCAUGGCUGUCGUCAGCUCGUGUUGUGAAAUGUUGGGUUAAGUCCCGCAACGAGCGCAACCCUUAUCCUUUGUUGCCAGCGAUUAGGUCGGGAACUCAAAGGAGACUGCCAGUGAUAAACUGGAGGAAGGUGGGGAUGACGUCAAGUCAUCAUGGCCCUUACGACCAGGGCUACACACGUGCUACAAUGGCGCAUACAAAGAGAAGCGACCUCGCGAGAGCAAGCGGAACUCAUAAAGUGCGUCGUAGUCCGGAUUGGAGUCUGCAACUCGACUCCAUGAAGUCGGAAUCGCUAGUAAUCGUGGAUCAGAAUGCCACGGUGAAUACGUUCCCGGGCCUUGUACACACCGCCCGUCACACCAUGGGAGUGGGUUGCAAAAGAAGUAGGUAGCUUAACCUUCGGGUGGGCGCUUACCACUUUGUGAU
rnacentral:rRNA from 1 species